UCCGUGUCUUCAUCACUUGAUUAAAAAUUCAUAGGUAUACAAAGAAAUCUAAAAGCAUUUCUUAAAGGAACUUUGCCCUUAAAGAAACUCAUCGAUGGCAAAAAAGUUUUCAACGGGGCAAAUAUUGUAAGAAACAAGUUGAAUCAUAUAUACACUUCAAUGAGAGUGGCUUUCACCAAAAUUUCAAAGAAAAUGUUGGUUUGACCAUACUUUUUUAAUUGAAACAGCAGAUUUCUUCAGCGUAA